rnacentral:rRNA from 1 species
UGAGCCAAGUUUAGGGUUUUCUCAAAACCCAAGCAGUAUUGAACUGAAGAGUUUGAUCAUGGCUCAGAUUGAACGCUGGCGGCAGGCCUAACACAUGCAAGUCGAGCGGAUGAAGGGAGCU